GUACUCCCUUCAGCAGCACAUAUGCUAAAAAUGGAAUGAUACAAGAAGAUUAGCAUGGCCUUUAGGCAAGGAUGACAUGCAAAUUCAUGAAGUGUUCCAUAUUUUU